UACGAAGGGGGCUAGCGUUGCUCGGAAUUACUGGGCGUAAAGCGCACGUAGGCGGCUUCUUAAGUCGGUGGUGAAAUCCUGGAGCUCAACUCCAGAACUGCCUUCGAUACUGGGAAGCUCGAGUCCGGGAGAGGUGAGUGGAACUGCGAGUGUAGAGGUGAAAUUCGUAGAUAUUCGGAAGAACACCAGUGGCGAAGGCGACUCACUGGACACGUAUUGACGCUGAGGUGCGAAAGCGUGGGGAGCAAACAGG
rnacentral:rRNA from 1 species